AUGGCGAGGGCGGCGCCCAUCCUCGCCGUGUCCAAGCCGUCUCCUCUCCCUCUAAUCGCCCCGUCGUCACGCCCCCGGGCUGGGUCCCUUCACCUGCAUCGCCGCCGCCUCCUCCCACUCUCGCCGUCGUCGUCAUGCAGCACCAGCACCAGCGCCUCUUCCUCCUCCUCCUCGCCGGUCUUGCUGCGGGAUGACGAGCUGGACCACCAGGAGGAGCCCCCGCCCGCUUCGGAGGCCGACUCGCGGCCCCGCCGCAUCGCGCUCUUCGUCGAGCCCUCCCCCUUCGCCUACGUCUCCGGCUACAAGAACCGCUUCCAGAACUUCAUCAAGUACCUCCGCGAGAUGGGCGACGAGGUCAUCGUCAUCACCACCCACGAGGGCGUGCCCGACGAGUUCCACGGCGCCAAGCUCAUCGGAUCCUGGAGCUUCCCUUGCCCCUGGUAUCAGAAGGUCCCGCUCUCGCUCGCCCUCAGCCCCAGAAUCAUUGGAGAAGUCGCUAGGUUCAAGCCCGACAUUAUCCACGCCUCUUCCCCUGGAAUCAUGGUAUUCGGCGCCCUAAUCAUCGCAAAGUUGCUAUGCGUCCCUCUAGUGAUGUCCUACCACACCCAUGUUCCAAUUUAUAUUCCAAGGUAUACAUUCAGCUGGCUUGUCAAGCCCAUGUGGCUAGUUAUAAAAUUCUUGCACCGAGCUGCGGAUCUCACACUGGUACCAUCAGUCGCUAUUGGCAGGGACCUUCAAGCUGCCCGUGUUACAGCAGCCAAUAAGAUACGCCUUUGGAACAAGGGCGUGGAUUCAGAAAGCUUCCAUCCUCGUUUCCGUAGUCAGGAAAUGCGGUCAAGGCUAACGAAUGGUGAACCAGACAAGCCACUGAUAAUCUAUGUUGGACGCUUAGGAGUUGAGAAAAGCUUGGAUUUUCAUAAGCGAGUCAUGGAUCGACUUCCAGGAUCAAGAAUUGCAUUCAUUGGAGAUGGCCCAUUCAGGCCUGAACUUGAAGAGAUGUUUUCAGGAAUGCCUGCAGUGUUCACAGGGACAUUGCAAGGGGAAGAACUGUCACAGGCCUAUGCCAGUGGAGAUGUGUUUGUGAUGCCUUCUGAGUCAGAGACGCUGGGUUUUGUUGUGUUGGAGGCAAUGUCAUCCGGGGUGCCGGUGGUCGCUGCUCGAGCUGGAGGCAUACCUGACAUUAUACCUGAGGAUCAGGAAGGAAAGACCAGCUUUCUGUACAUACCGGGUGAUGUGGAUGACUGUGUUGGGAAGGUUGAACUCCUGCUCUCCUGUGAAGAGUUGAGAGAGACAAUGGGGAAGGCCGCCAGGAAGGAGAUGGAGAAAUUCGGCUGGAAGGCGGCGACGAGAAAGAUUCGGAACGAGCAGUACACCGCCGCAAUUUGGUUCUGGCGCAAGAAGAGAUCGCAGCUGCUGAGACCUCUCCAGUGGGUGUUCCGGAGGCUCUUCAGGCCCGCUCCUGCUCCUGCCCCCGCCAUAACAAAUCAGUCAUAG
rnacentral:rRNA from 1 species